GACGAACGCUGGCGGCGUGCUUAACACAUGCAAGUCGAGCGGUAAGGCCCUUUCGGGGGUACACGACCGGCGAACGGGUGAGUAACACGUGGGUGACCUGCCCUCAGCUCUGGGAUAAGCCUGGGAAACCGGGUCUAAUACUGGAUAUGACUCCAUGACGCAUGUUGUGGGGUGGAAAGCCUUGUGCGGCUGAGGAUGGGCCCGCGGCCUAUCAGCUUGUUGGUGGGGUGANGGCCUACCAAGGCGACGACGGGUAGCCGGCCUGAGAGGGCGACCGGCCACACUGGGACUGAGACACGGCCCAGACUCCUACGGGAGGCAGCAGUGGGGAAUCUUGCGCAAUGGGCGAAAGCCUGACGCAGCGACGCCGCGUGAGGGAUGACGGCCUGGUGU
rnacentral:rRNA from 1 species